AUUGAACGCUGGCGGCAGGCCUAACACAUGCAAGUCGAACGAGUGGCGGACUGGUGAGUAAUUUCUGGGAAACUGCCUGACGGACGGGUAUAACUACUGGAAACGGUAGCUAAUACCGCAUACCAUCGGAUGUGCCCAGAUGGGAUUAGCUAGUAGGGGGGGUAAAGGCUCAUCUAGGCGACGAUCCCUAGCUGGUCUGAGAGGAUGACCAGCCACACUGGAACUGAGACACGGUCCAGACUCCUACGGGAGGCAGCAGUGGGGAAUAUUGCACAAUGGGCGCAAGCCUGAUGCAGCCAUGCCGCGGGUAUGAAGAAGGCCUUCGGGUUGUAAAGUACUUUCAGCGGGGAGGCGUUACCCGAAGAAGAAGCACCGGCUAACUCCGUGCCAGCCGCCGCGGUAAUUC
rnacentral:rRNA from 1 species